UAUUUCUCAUGUUCCCGCAGUCCCUUAGAUGCAGGUAGCCGGAUAAGCGGGCAAUGGAGAGAGGGAGUGAAGACAUUGUUGACUGCAUUCUCUCCUUUCGAUUGCAACGGUUCUAUGCCUCCAUUUUGUGGUGUUCUCCGAAGAACAAACUAAGGUCAGACGGAGCAAUAGCCACCAAAAGAACAACGAUCAAAGGGCAAUGCAUGAUAAAUAUAGAUAAUUCUAGUAUUUGCUGUUUUUGCAUUACACACUGAACAGACACACACACGAUAAAAGCUACAACAACACACCAUCAGCGGGUUACGUGCGCGUACAAGCGAGACAGCCAAACCAAAAGAAAUAUAAAUAAUUCGCGAUGAAUAAGCAAAUUGAACAAAGGCUUCCAGUGCGACGCAGUUUUCUGCUGAAACUGCCCCUAAUUUCAGUGCACGAGUAUGGAAUAACUGAAAGACUCCUAUGUCGGUGGAUAGCUUGUAAUUAUAAACAAAUACCUAACGACUAAUUUUACUCAAAAUUCAAAGUUCAAUAUAUGAAAA